GUGCUUGCUUCUGCAGCACAUGUACUAAUACUGGAACAAUACAGAGAAGAUCAGCAUGGCCCCUGUGCAAGGAUGAUAUGCAGUUCGUGAAGCCUUCCAUAUUUUU